CCUACGGGGGGCUGCAGUAAGGAAUAUUGGACAAUGGGCGAAAGCCUGAUCCAGCCAUGCCGCGUGAAGGACGAAGGCGCUCAGCGUUGUAAACUUCUUUUGGAUGGGAACAAUAACUCCGACUUGUCGGAACUUGAGGGUACCAUCAGAAUAAGCACCGGCUAACUCCGUGCCAGCAGCCGCGGUAAUACGGAGGGUGCAAGCGUUAUCCGGAAUCACUGGGUUUAAAGGGUCCGUAGGCGGCCCGAUGAAAUCGCUGGGCUCAACCCAUGCAAUUGCGAUUGAUACUGUCAGGCUUGAAUAUGGUUGAGGCUAGCGGAAUGCGGCAUGUAGCGGUGAAAUGCUUAGAUAUGCCGCAGAACACCGAUUGCGAAGGCAGCUAGCUGGGCCUUUAUUGACGCUGAGGCACGAAAGCGUGGGGAGCAAACAGGAUUAGAUACCCGAGUAGUC
rnacentral:rRNA from 1 species